UGCAACCUUCACCUGAGGUGUAGUGUACUAUAUAUUUUGUAUCUAUUGCCUUCAAUUUUGUAUCUACUAUAUAUAUUCAUGAGAUAACAACUUUGUGUAUGACAAAUUUAUGGUUUGAUUAGAGUUAGAAAUUUGUUGUGUGUGAUUUACUUCCAUAAAAUAAAUGCAAUAUAAAAAACAAUAGAAUGAUUGUUUAUGAAGUUGUAAAAUUACAGACAAGUAGAUUAUCUUAGAGGACUACAGAAAAUCUUUAAUAUCAUAGUAUCAGUCACACUUCUUACUCUUAUUCAUAACCAUAAUAAAAGAUAAACUUAGUACAAACUUCAUAGCACAAAAAUAAAAUAUAUCUAUACUAUAGCAAAGACAUAUACCAAAGAAGAGGCAUUGCCUUGUCCAUAAAGAGUACAUAAAUAUAACAUUCAGACAAUAAACAACAUUAUUUCAAAUAUAUAGAUAUAUAUAUCAAUAACACACAAACUAGACAUGACUAUAAUAUCUCUUAUCAUCAUGAAAGAAGAUUACUUCCGCUUAAGGAGCAUCAUUGCUAUUAGGUGCGACAUUUGUGUCAUCGGUACAAAACUUACCAUACACACCCCAAAAGUAAGGAGUACUCAAGCACAUGCUAUACAAAAUCAUACAAUCUACGCACUUUCCAAAUUUUUUAGAUUUGUAAAUACCACUAUCUUUCUUCAUCCGAUUAGUUCUUCCGACUUCCUCAGCACUAUAACCAUUCAGAAAAAUUGCCACAAGAAGAAGAAAUAGAACAAGUGAAGUAGUGGUUUUGCUCAUAGUGUACUUUUUUUAAAAGGCAAACUAAGAAUAUAAAGAAAAGAAAGAUAGUACAACCAAAGAGAAUGAGUAUUUUCUGAUUUCUUCUUAUGGAUAUUGUUUUGCAUGGAAUGAAAUUGGC
rnacentral:lncRNA from 1 species